CUUGCAGCCAAGAGCAAGAAUUUUCAGCUGGAAUCCCAGGGGUGAGUAGUUUGCCUUUACUAGCUCUGCUGACUCACCACUGGUCUUCAAAACUUCAUGUACAUGAUAUUUAACUUCACACACUCUGUUCAGGUCUGGAAAGAGGAAAGAAUGAAUCCAAAAGAUGAAAAUACUCCCAGGGGUCAUCCCAUGUCCUAACGGAACUGCUGAAGAAAAUGAAGGAGGCAGCAUGUGGAACUGACCAACAGACUGUGCAGAAGGAGGCAAUGACAGAAGGCAGCAAUCCCACCCUGCCAAUCUCUGACAAAGAAACACAGGCAGCACAAACAACCGGCAUGCCAGAUCCCCUGGCUGCUGGACAUGGUGGUGUCCCAGGUUGCAGCUGUAGCCUCCCUGACUUCCUCAGGCCGAAUCAUCAUCUUUCCCAGUUCCAGAGGAAUUUCCUGAAUUGCCACCCCUCCCCAGCUGGAUCCAUGUUACCUUUCUCGUGGAUACAAUACAGUCUGAGAAGAGAACAAGCAAUGACGAGAAGGCCAGAAAUCCAUCGGUUGUUGGACCACAUGGAAAGACAUGGAGGAAAAUCACAGAAUCACAGCAUAUCAAGGAUUGGAAGGGACCUCUAAAGACCAUCCAGUCCAACCCCCCUGCUGGAGCAGGAACACCUAGAUCUGGUCACACAGGAACGCGUCCAGGUGGAUUUUGAAUGCCUCCAGAGAAGGGGACCCCAGAACCUCUCUGGGCAGCCUGUUCCAGUGCUCUGUCACCAUCACUGUAAAGAAGUUUUUUCUCAUAUUUAUGUGGAACCUCCUGUGUUCCAGCUUGCAUCCAUUUCUCCUUGUCCUAUCAUUGGAUGUCACUGAAAAGAGCCGGGCUCCUCAAUACAACAAAGGUCUUGCAGAAAAUGGUCCUUUGCUCUGUUUUGGUAAUUGGUGCACUGAAAAAGAUCCG
ensembl:lncRNA